rnacentral:siRNA from 1 species
ACCACACCGCACUUCUCCCGUA